CCUACGGGAGGCAGCAGUAGGGAAUCUUUCACAAUGGGCGAAAGCCUGAUGGAGCAACGCCGCGUGCAGGAUGAAGGCCUUCGGGUUGUAAACUGCUUUUAUAAGCGAGAAAUAUGAGGGUAACUUAUGAAUAAGGAUCGGCUAACUACGUGCCAGCAGCCGCGGUCAUACGUAGGAUCCGAGCAUUAUCCGGAGUGACGUGGUGUAAAGAGUUGCGUAGGUGGCAUAAUAAGUAGCUAGUGAAAUCUGGUGGCUCAACCAUUCAGACUAUUAGCUAAACUGUUAAGCUCGAGACCGUUAGGUGUAACUGGAAUUUCUAGUGUAGGAGUGAAAUCCGUAGAUAUUAGAAGGAACACCAAUAGCGUAGGCAGGUUGCUGGGACGGUUCUGACACUAAGGCACGAAAGCGUAGGGAGCAAACGGGAUUAGAUACCCUUGUAGUC
rnacentral:rRNA from 1 species